rnacentral:rRNA from 1 species
GUGGGGAAUAUUGGGCAAUGGGCGAAAGCCUGACCCAGCAACGCCGCGUGAAGGAAGAAGGCCCUCGGGUUGUAAACUUCUUUUAAGAGGGACGAAAGAAAUGACGGUACCUCUUGAAUAAGCCACGGCUAACUACGUGCCAGCAGCCGCGGUAAUACGUAGGUGGCGAGCGUUAUCCGGAUUUACUGGGUGUAAAGGGCGUGUAGGCGGGAGUGCAAGUCAGAUGUGAAAAUUAUGGGCUCAACCCAUAACCUGCAUUUGAAACUGUUCUUCUUGAGUGAUGGAGAGGCAGGCGGAAUUCCGUGUGUAGCGGUGAAAUGCGUAGAUAUACGGAGGAACACCAGUGGCGAAGGCGGCCUGCUGGACAUUAACUGACGCUGAGGCGCGAAAGCGUGGGGAGCAAACAGGAUUAGAAACCCCGGUAGUCC